rnacentral:rRNA from 1 species
AUUGAACGCUGGCGGCAGGCCUAACACAUGCAAGUCGAGCGAGCGGCGGACGGGUGAGUAAUGUAUGGGGACUGCCCGAUAGAGGGGGAUAACUACUGGAAACGGUAGCUAAUACCGCAUACUAUCGGAUAACCCAUAUGGGAUUAGCUAGUAGGUGAGGUAAUGGCUCACCUAGGCGACGAUCCCUAUCUGGUCUGAGAGGAUGAUCAGCCACACUGGGACUGAGACACGGCCCAGACUCCUACGGAGGCAGCAGUGGGGAAUAUUGCACAAUGGGCGCAAGCCUGAUGCAGCCAUGCCGCGUGUAUGAUGAAGGCCGUCGGGUUGUAAAGUACUUUUGGCAGAGAGGCGGUACCGGCAGAAUAAGCACCGGCUAACUACGUGCCAGCAGCCGCGGUAAUAC